CCACUUCAGGUGGGCCACUUACUUCAGGAUCAGAGGCUUGGAUGUCAGGUACAGAGCUGCUGUUUCAGUAGGCAGCCUGCAGGUAUGGAUUGGUUGUGAGCCAAGGGCCCCCAAGGAUGGCAGAAGAAAAAGGAUGUGUCGUCCUGCUCGCUGGCAUGGUUUUGUUCCAUAUAUAUAGCAGUCCAGUGGGAGGUAGACAAGCUUAGGUCACAACAAUUUCGGGUGGUUGGUUACGAAGGGGAGGCUGUGCUGGAAGGCUGCUGCUCACAGCUGUGGUCUAAAGCAAAAGUGAGAAGGGAAUGAAGAGCUUAGCUAGAGCUCAGAGUUACCUAGAACUCAAAGUUCUUGGGCAGCCUGCAUGCCAGACUGCCUGCAUGCUCAGGAGCAGGAGGCUGCGAGGAUGGUGGGAAGACCAGUAUAUUCGGUAGGCAUUUGAUGGCCCUCCAGAGUUCCCAUAUCAUACUCUUUGGUAGCGAGUCAUGGACCGACUGCAGGAAGGAAGGUAGGUGAAGGUCAGCUUGACUCUUCUAGCAGCUUUCAUGCACCUCUGGUUAUCAGAUGAUCUCAUGCUCACCAGUGUGAGAAGAGGGUAUGUGGCGUGGGAGCAGACUCUAUAAAGUCUCCCAGGAAGAGAAGUUUAGACACAAAGAGCUUUUUUUUUAUAUGGUUUUAUUUAUUUCAGUGUGCACAAGACCAUGUCCAUCUGAUGUUAAUGGUGGCAAGGUUGAAGGAGCUUGCAUUACAGCUGGGAAAACUUCCAUGAGUUUCAGACCUGCGUUGUAGCUGAAAAUUAGACAGCUUGGGUUUUGCCAGCAUGCAGUUCUCCUGGCCACACUCACAUGCUGCUCUGACACUGACUGCUACUGAGAUUUGUCUCUUAGAGGAGUAUCUGGCUUUGUUUCCUGCAGAGAAAAUGGUAGUUUGAACUUUUCUCACUCAAGAAAGCAUCACUGAGUCAAGGGCUUUCUAUCCUCAAUUCAGUAGACUUCAGGGCUUGAGCUGUGCGAAAUGGCGAGAGCACGUCAUCCGCACGUCUCUGAGUAAGAUACGUCUUUCCCGUUGGACACACGGCGAAGCCCUGUCCAUGAAGGACAAAGCGAGACAGAACAAGAUGUGUUCCUUGGCAUUCCAGGUACCUGCCCCUAAACUCUAAAAUAAAAACUAAAUGAAAAUCUGAAUAAAAAUUUCCCCAGGAGAUACAAGAUCGUAGAGGCCUAACUAUCACUGCAUGAAAACUUCUUGAAACGCUCAAUACAAAAGCUUCCACGUUGUCUUUGCAAGAAUGUUUCUGGUGUGAGAAACUGGAAGAAAUCAGUGUUGUUUAUCAAAAUGAGUAAGCAAAGGGCACGCUUGCAGCAAAUGGCACUGCUGUUCUGUGCACCCUCUGGUAAUUUUGCCUAAUCCUACUGAAUGAGUUUUUCAUGCAUAUAUAUGUAUGUGUAUGCGUAUCUGUCAUGAGUAAAAUAGAUUGUAUCCUCAGCUGACAGGCUGUGUGUGACAGAUUACAGCAGGGCUUAGGGAAAGAAAUUCAUGACCCACACUAAGUGUGGAGUUGUAGGACUUCCCUCCAGAGCCUGUCGGCCGCAAUAGCAGUCGCACCACCUCCCCACACCGGUAGCGGUGCCGGUUUGGGGUCCCUCUCCUCCUCCUACCCCUGCUAGGGGUGACUGAAGAUGCAGCAGAGGGGAUGAUGAGAAGGGGUUUCUUUCUUUGGGGUGCAAAUACAGGGUGAAAACUGGGCGAGCGAAGGAGCGCCCUGGGUCACGCCAGCCCUGCAGUGAGGCCGUGCCGCAGGAUGGAGAGGGGUGAGUGGACAGGGCUGGCGGGCUUGCUGCCGAAGGGGUGAAAUGCCCCCAUGGGGGGCCUGAGGAUGUGUGCUGAGGGAGGGCGGGGGGCUCUGCAGAUACCCCUGCAGACCCCGCAGCACCGCCAUGCAGAUGGCAGCCUCUCACCUGGCUCUGCGUUGCAGGGGCUUAUUCCUCAGUGGGCACUGAGCAGCGCUGACCGAAAUCAUAGCUGGAGGCCCGGCAGAAAGUCUCCAUCGGUGCAGCGGGCACUGCCUGGCCCCCUGGCUGCUCCGGCCCCUGGACAGGGACCCCCAGGCAGGCAGGGGAGGGGGCACAGCCUCAUCUCCCCACUUUACCCCCGCAGGGACCCCUGAGGGAGCAGCCGUGCCACCCCCCCAGGCCCCACGGGGUGUUGGGGGACCCCCAGCAGCGAGCAGCCCCGGGUUGGCCGCUCCUUCGCUAGACCUGCCUCUGCAGAGGUGUUUGCAGCCAUUGGCACAGGCGCUGCGGAGCCGGUUGCCUGGCAGCAGGAACGCGUCCUCUUCCCCAUGACAAACAUCAUCUCCAUCGACCCAGGCCACCUCCUGUUUCAAAUGUCUGCCCAAGCUGAAAAGCCCAGCGAGGGAAAACGCAGCUCACCGGAAUGAGCUGGGUGAGCCCCGUUUCAUCAUUCUGGUGAUGCAGGGACCCUUGCGCUAAGUGGCUGCCCACAGGUGAAUUCAUCCAGCACCAUAAGCAAAAUGCUGCUGUGCUCGGCAAUUCAGCCUGGAUUAGCACUAAAAGAACAAGCUCCCUUAAAGAAACAUGCUAAUUAGAGAGUAUGAAUAUUCAGCUUUCUGCAAAACUGUCAGAGGAAAACUAAUUGUGAAGCUAAGCCCAAGGUCUGCCUUCUUGCGUCUGGGUCUUUGGUCCCUGCUGAAAACAGGCUGAUGGGUUUGAUGUGCCGGAAGAAGGCAAAGCGUUGUGUCUGAGAGCGCAGAGUUGCUCCAGGUCUCUGUGGCUUCUAAAGCAUGUGCAGUGUGUUUAUCUGCUCCCAGCUUGGCACUCAGCCUCCGAGCUUGGUGCUGCAUCCAGCCACUGUGCUGUAGUAACUCAGAUGCUGAGUAUUGCAGCGAUCACAGGAUUAUGAAUUUGAGAGAAAUAAAAAUUAGCAACUUCAGAGUUAGACGUCUUUCUUAAAAGAAAGAAAACCAUUAUGAGUGAGUCAGGCGCAUUCCCCACCAGCAGCCUACUGAAGAGAGCCAUCUUCUGCAGAGAGGUGGAGGACAGGAGGGUGCCUGAUGAGUCCAGCAAGGGUGAGGGCACAGGCUAGGAAUGGAAGGGACAGACUUGUGCAGCCACAGAGCAGCUAUGGUCAGCGUGCCAGUGCCGUGCAGGGAGCGCACGGGAGAAGGAGCCAGAGGGCUCUGCCCGGGGGGGUUGCGCUGUACUGCAGGGAUGUAGACUGGGGCUGCUCAGGCUCUGGGAGAAGCUGGGUUUGACAGAAAUGCAAAGGUGCCCUGCUCUGCUGAGCUCCACAGCACUGCAGCUGACCCUGCGUUGCGAGGUAGGGGGUGUCUCUAUGCUGGGGUGCAGUUGCUUGUAUUGUGAGACCCUCUCUUCCUGCCUACAGGAAAGCUGAAAUCAGUGUGGUCUACCAGGAGUUUUCUCAGUGUACUUUGAAACAUGAGAUUUGUUUCAAGGAGGCUCAAGCUACAUGAAAGCGGGCACACCAGGUGCAGAGGCAGCUCUUUUCUGACUGUGACUGCUUGCCAUGACGUGGGAAUGACCAUCAUGCCAUCGAGGAGCUGCAGCUCCAUCCUUGGCAACACCAGCAUCAGCCCUCCCCACCUCGGGCAGUGGCGAUGGCUCAAGGGAGCCAAAGCAGAGAGGCAGAGACAAGGUGGAGGGCAGUGUGGCAGCUUGUCCGUUUUCAGGUGAAGAAGGAAAUCUCUGGUGGGUGCUGCAUGAGGGGAGCUGUGCCACAGCAGGCAGGGGCAUAGCUGUGGGAGGAGGCCGGGGAAGAAGGGCUGCGGUUUAAUCGCCAGCCCCGGUUCUAUCAGCAAAUACAAGGACAAGCUGUCGCUGGUGUGGAAGGUAGCAGAUGGCCUAAUUGUGAGAUUCUCCCUUGCAAGAGCAAAACGAUGUACCGUUUUUAACAUCUUUGCCUAGAGCUGAGUGCUAACUUCAGAUGCUACCAAGAUACACUGUACAGAGGCACUCUGUGCCAGAAAUGUGCUCUAAGGAUAAUCAGGAGAAAACUGUGCUUGAAGUGACAUUUAAAAAAUAAUUAUUAUGUCCCAUUGCUGUUAGUCACACAUCCCAAAAGCUGAUCUGGCUAACAGAGCUUUCCAAAGCAUCUCCUGCUCGACAUAUCAUCUGGAAAUUAUGCCAUCAUUGUGUCACUGUGUCUCGCCUCGUAAUCACCAGGACAUUGUGUAUGUACACACACUGUUUCUUCCCCAUUUCUUGGAGAAAAUAAUUCUGUCUCCUGAUUUUUCUCAUGCUGCUUCAGCUGGCUUCGUGCAGAUUCUUGCCUUGGCCAUUUGCUGGAGGGCACAGGCCUUACCUUCCCAGAGACAGCUACAAAGCAUUGCCACCUUGUCUCCUUGUGCGAAGCCUCAGGCAGCACCACUGCUGUGAAGGUCCAAGGUGCCUUGGAACAGCUCAACACUCUGCAAAACUCCAGGCCUGUAGCAGAGACAGCAGAGCUCACCAGCGUCACACUAAUAUCAGGUGCUUGAAACUUUAUAUUGAAGGUGCAGGGUCGUUACUGGUGAGUUGUUAUGGCAGGUGCAUUUUGUCAGCUCCAGCUCUGAUGUGAGGACAGGGGAGAGUGCAGCGCCUCUCUCAGCUGGGUCAGCUUUUCAGAGAAAACUCUGGUAAGGACCUCACUGGGAGAGAAAACUUCGACUAACCUGUAGAUCUGCUUACUAUUACUUAUCAGUAAGCGCAAAACUCAUGCCAAGGAUCAGCUUGGUCUGAAUCAAGUGAAUACUCCAUUUGAGGGUAACAGCCCUUUUCUUGUUGACUUUUUGCAGCCCACUGGAUAUGUCUUUAAGGACUUUCACCUGCCGAGUAUACCAUGUGCUGUCUCUCUUCCUGCUAGUCCUUUAAACUUCACCAUGUUUGUUGGGGGUUUUUUUUGGUAAUAAAAGGGCUUUAAUGGCUUAUCUGUAAGCUUUGUCUCCUACAGUAUUCGGACGUAUUGAAUCUUCUUUGAAUCUACCUUUACCUUACUGUCCAUCUUCAAAAGACCCUUACCCAUGCAGCAGAUGUCUAUGCUGCAACAGUCUGUCCACUUUCCCCUCCCCUCCUCUACUUUCUUCCCCGCAGUUUGCUCAGGAGUCUCCUGCUUAAAAUCUCACAGCUGUGACACACCAGCCCAUCUCUCUCAAAUCCUGCUGAUUGCAUGUCUCAGCUUUUUAUUUUCCCUUUCAAGGCCCUCCAUAAUGUUAGUUUACCUUUAAUCUCAUUCCUCUCACUCCUCCUGCCUGUAUUCUCCCAGUCAUCCCUCCUUUCUGCUAUUUUAACUUGUUCUUGGAUGGUUCAAUCCUGCUUUUUUCUUCACCCUCCUCUGACACCUCAAUCCACCUCCCAUUUUCUGUUAGCCAAACAUUUGUCCUCUCAUUCUGUCACCUCCACCUUAAAUCCCUAUCUUUUUCUUCCUUGCUAGCACUAACACCCCACACGCGCUCAUGCAGAGUCAUCUGAGUUGUUGUCCCAUGUGGUUUUCCUGGAGUGCAUGUUAUUCACACCAGGAAUUUGUGGUUCUCCUAUAGUGCACACACCCCAGUUACAAACACACGAGGGUCUUUUGAAGAGCAGCAGCCGCUGGUAAGUAACCAUUCAUUAUUAAUCCUCUUGCUUAUAUGAUACACAGAAAAUGCUAAACUUUGUCUAGCUGGGUAAUAAGAGGAAUCUUUUCUAUUUUGAUGAUGUGAAGGCCCACUUUGGAUGCUCUAGAUAGGUAAAUGUAUAAAAAUGGAUGUUAUUUAAACUUACAGUGACUUAAACUUCCUCUAGGCAGCAAAGCCAUUCAAGGAACAUAAGUAAGAAGCUUGCUACGAGAAGAGGUUUUGGGUCUCACUUCACUGUGCUGCCUUGCACUACCACGUCAUCACUGGCCACGUUCAAGUUGCCUUUAACAUCUUUACAUUCCUGCACAUGACAAACAAUAGGGACUAGCUCCCAUACAGCAGAGGAAAUAUAGCAGCAAGUGUCUCACGUCCAUUUCUCAACUGUCAUCAAAUAGCUUUUAUUCAUGGCAUAGCACAAGUGUCAGCCAACUGGCAAAAGCAGCCUAUAUUAAAAAUGUUGGGGAUUAUUCAUGUCAACAGACACAAGGGAGCUUUUCUCAGUCAGUGGUCUGAAAAUGCAGCAGGUUCUCUAGAGUAAUCUCAAAUCUGAAUAACUGCAGAAGGAGGCCAACAGCUGACUGUCACUUCCAAGUACAAUUAAAAAAUUCAUCUAGCACAAUUGGAUAAGAGCUUGGAUAGGUGAGUGUUUUAACUGUGUGGAUAGCUAGAAAAGGCUAUACCGUAAGGAUGUUAUGUAGAAAGAAUAAGAUGAUAUUUUUUUAAAAAUGCUCAGAUCGAAGUUGGUUUGCAGGUUGUGAGCUGGUGGUGGCUUCUCAGGUUUGCUUCUGAUUACAUAAUUAGCUGAUAGGUCCUUGGCCUGUUUGAUUGCAGCCAUUUACUGUGCUAUACAGAAUAUGAUUUCCAUUGGCCGCGUAGUUUGUCUUUUGUGGACAAGAUGCGAUUUAGAAAUGGAUUAAUUCUUUCUCCUCUUAAAAGGUGAUUUAAAAAAAAAAUCCCCAUUUAACUGAAAAUACCUUUUAUUAAAUUUGUGAGGAUAAUAAUAGAAAAAAAGAAUAAGCUGGACACAAGCAGUAAAAUUGCUUACCUUAAAAACAUCAAGUAAAGAUGGAAAAUAAUGGAGGUUUCAGAUAUCUAAGGUUAACAGUUAGAGGCAAUUCCCUAACCAGUUAUUUCAGUCCUACUGUAUUUGCAGAAGUCUAUUGUAUUCUGUCAUCUUGCAUUUUUCAUUUGUUGCUUUUAAAACGUAUGGCCUGCUUCUUUUCCCCGUCAAUUAUUUUUGACUAGUUUAAUUCCCUGAACUCAGUGAUGUUAUGGAUAUGAAAUCAGGAGCAGUUUAAGUGGAAAAUAAAAAAUUAAGACCCAUGCAAGUUAUCAUGAAUAAGGUGACCUGAUCUUCUCUGACACAGAUCUAUGUUCCACUUAUGCUCUGGAAAACUUUGGAUACUAUAUUUUCAUCAAAACCUAAUUUCUGUACAAAUAUGUGAUACAGAAGAAACCCAACCGACAAAACCCUCAGACGUAUCCCAUGGCAUCUCCAUGACAACAUAUAGAUGCAGUCUGCUAUAUAUGUCAUUAUCAGGAGACUAACUGCUCCAAGAUUUUUCCCACAUUGAGCUGAAAGGCAGACCGACCAACGGGGUAGCUGGCUGCAGAGGAUGUUGCUGGGAUUUAAAUGUGGAAACUGCAGCUCGUGAUUGAUGCUGCGUAAACCAGAGGCUGAUGGAGCAGCCUUACCGAGGGGGUCAGCCCUGUACCACAGCUUCCCUGGCUGAGGCUGCUUGGUCAGGUGGAAGAACAGGCACCGGCAGGUUCUCCACCGGGUCGGAAAAGUCACACGGAGCACCUUUGCAGGGUUCUCUAAGUCUUCCUGAAAGGCCGUUAGUUACCAGCAGAGUGAGAUAAGAACAGAAGGUAAUUUGCGUUAAUAAAUUAUCCUGAGAGGUGUCUUUCUCCCCUGCACAUGUAGAAGGAAAGAGAGAGUGACCCUGCCCUCUCUCCCUGGUGGAGAACUCCGAAACCUGUGGCAAGAGGUGUGCUCCCCACGCCCUGGCAGUGUGCAGGGAACCAAGGUCAGCAAGCCAGGCCAGCGGCACGUGCAGCCAGGGCUUUUCCCAGAUGGAUGAUCCAUUCCUCACAGGUAAAGGAUCAGGCUAGGACCAAGAAAAGGAACCUGCCACUCACUCUGUGUGUGUGGUUAUUUCCCCUUUCAUAAUCCCCAGUGUUUGUUGCACUGGAUUUAAUUGUUCCGUAUGUUUCAUGUUAAACGAUGCCUUGUCAUUUACUUGCUUCCCAGAGCAGUUGGGAGCAGGACCUCAGGUGGAUGAGCAGUCCCGUGGGGUCAGGAGACUGGCUUUCUUCUUUGGGCCACCCUGCAGAGGGACUGACCCCGUACAGCUGCCAGUGGCGCGCCGGGUCUGCCUUAGGCACUGGUGCUGCAUUGCGCCAGCUCCCAGGAGUUUCAGAAGCAUGGUAAGGAUGCACCCGCUGGGAUAGCUGAACAAUGAUCAAUUCAGUACAUCCCCCGCUCCCGCCUUUCCUCCUAACCUGUCCUUUCCUCAGCUCCUUCCCCCAGCGCUGGUGUGGUUUACAGGACUUCAUUGAAGGGUGAGCGGCCCUGCCUGUGCAGCGGCGCCCGGGCACGCGCGGCCGCUCCUGCGGAGCAGCUGAAGUGCUGUAAUUUCAUACUCCAGCUGACGGUGCAGGAACUUGUUCAUCUGCCUGUGCCCUAGUGCAGACACGGUCCUGGCCGCCAUAGGCAGGCUCAGUGCGGUCGGUGGCGCUGAGUUAGUGUUUGCAGUGGUUAGGAAACAUUGCUGCUGGAAACAGGGCUGCGUGUGUAACUGCCCGAGUAAAGCAACGCUGGCCUUUUUAUACUUGUUUCUGACUUCUGGACUGGGGAGGUCUUCUUCAUUCCUGCACCUCUCUAAGGCACCUUAGGCACCUUACCCCGACUCUCUGCUGCUCGUCUUUCCUUUCUGAGAAAUGGAGAGAACAAUAUUUACCAUUCUGGUAGAGCACUUUCUCAUCUGUUUCGUGAGACGUGCUACUUAAAAGGUGAUUGUUAGGUUUUGUCCAGCUAUAAAAAGUCCUCAGCUUCACAGCAGGGCACAGUAUGUUAUCAGCCAUAAAACCCCCCUUACACUGAUCUUCAGCAUUUAGGGAUAGACCUUUGUUCAGCUUAGUUACUCAUACUCUUUGGAGUGGCGCGGCCUGCAUUUGGUUUCUUUUUUGCUACUCUCUGUGUAUGUAUUGUGUACAUAUGGUUGGCUUUUGCUUCUAUUAGGGCCAAAGAUCAUUUGGUUUAGCUUAACAUACAGAUGUCAGUUGGCAUCAGAUGAGUGACUUGGCCUUUGAUCUGCUGUUCAGCACAUUUCCUCUGAAAUAUAAGGGAAAUUAGUUUGCCAACAAAUAAGAAACAACUGAACCAAAAAGGACAAAAAGAAGGACUAUGACCCCAAGAAAUAAUCUGCCUUUCCUUCAGCAUACACUCUAUGGUUGUUUUAUGCUGACAGCCAAAGCCUGCCCAUUCGCUGCAGAUAGCCUUUUCCUUUACCAUAAUAACACAUUUCCUUCUGUGUAGCAUCUGAAGAAGAAACUACAUUCAUUUUUUGUCCAUAGGGCAGCUGGAAGCUUUGUCUCCAGCCUGGACAGCACAGUGCAAGGGUGGCAGUGGUUACAGUGGAGUGCCCAAGUUCAUGGCAGAUGGCAUGGCAGAACCAAGAGGCAGGUUCCUAUUUAGAGCAUUUCCACUGCAAUAUCUAGCUACGCAUGUCAGGGAGGUGUAGACAGACAAAAAGCCAUCACAGAUAAUAAUCGUUCAAAGUCAAGAUAAUAGCAGGAGCAGCAAAGUCAAGCCCCAAAUAGUUCCCCGUGGCCUAAUACCUCUUAUUUUGAAAAGCAGUGUCUGGAAAUGACAGUGGAGUGUACAAAGCAUGGGGAGCUCCUGGUGCUGGGCUGGAUGAUCCUGGAGCCUCAGCUCUCUGGGUACAGCCUCAGCAAGCGGCAGUACCGCUGGGACAGUGUUUACAACAACGAUGACUGAGUUUAGGGUGUUUCAGAAAGGAUUCAGUAUAUUCUGCCAGCUUGGGCUGAUGUUCCUGAUGGAUGCCGACGAUUCAGUUGAGAACAGAAUAAUUAACCAUUCUUUCACUUACAGAUAACUGAAACAAUUGGAGCUGGGCAGGCUUCCCAUAAGGCUCUUCAGGAAUCCGAGCUGAGCAGCAGGGUGGCUUGGCCAGGGGCUAAUCUACCCACUAAGGUGGAGAUCAACUUGAAGGCAGCAAGUUCCUUGGAAGAUAGAAGAGAAGAAAUGGAACAGAAAGCCUAGAAGGCUUUCCUAGAAGGCUUAAGCUUUCACCUUAUGCUGUCAUCAGAGCUAGCAAGUCUUAUUCUGGUUCCCAGUCUUACUGUCCAGUUGUACCUUCUUCAGCCUGAAAACAACCUCCUGUGCAAGUUGAUUGGCUUCCCAUCCUCAAGGUGAUGAGUUUAAAACCCCACAGUCUUUGGAAAACUAAGAUAAAACUUAAGCUCUCAGGAAUGGACAUGUGAAAAUCCUGGGAAAAGAAUUUUGGAGAGCUUUUGACCAAUGAAAUUUAGCAUAAUAAAAAUCCUUAGAACAGUUUAGCUUUUGCAUGGUAAUUACAUGCACUGAGAGUCAAUGAGGAUGUGCAAUAAAUGCUAUUAGUUUCUAUGUGUGAUAUGAAUAAUCAUCUUUAUCAACAUUACAGAAUGGGGAAGAAGACAAAAAGCAGAUAUUGUAGAUAUGUUGGUGAUAAUGGACUGUUCAUAAUGGGAACGUUUUUAUGUGUUCCAUGUAGUAAUAUGUAAAUAUUUCAGUUGAGCAGAUUUUUAGGUCAUAUAUAGUUUUAUUAAGAUCUAUAAAAAGAUCAAGAAUCAUAUUUGCAGAAAAGCAGCAGAGUUGAGUGUAGUGCAGAUGAGAGGCAACACUGGUCCCUGUGACAUCUUCAAGCGUCUUGAGCCUGAAAGUUACAGCUAGCCAGGUGCCACAUGGAAUCACAGGGCAACUGUAUACUCCCUAUCCACUACAGUGCUUUAUUGUUAAUUAUUAUUAUUCAGACACUAUGCUGCCUGCAGUUUGUAGAUACUGAAAGAAUUUUAAGAGGGACAUAGUCAGAAUUUCUCAGCAUAAGUCCAGGAGCCAAACAUUUCACCUCUAACAGAGACUUGCUUCAUGGCUUCAGACAAAAUAUCCACUCUACCUUCAUUCUCUCUGUAAACGAGGGCUAGGAUUUGUGUCUCAUGGGAUAUUGUGAGAUUAAUUUUUUUCUGGUAUGCAUAAACUGUUUUGAAGGUGGAAAGAUCCAAGUUUUAUUUCACAACAGCCUUGCAGUUACAGUACAAAUGGAGCAGACCCCGUCUCUCUUCAGAAAGGGACAAACAGCUUGGAACUCGGCAAGUACUCUAGCCAGCUAGAACAAAUACAAUUUUGCAGUCCAUUGAUUUCCAUUUACAAUGCCAAGUUUUAUUUGAUUUAUUUUUUUUAAUAUCUAUGUGCCACAACACUAACUUCCUUUUUUUUUUUUGCUGUUUUUUAAAUGAAGUGUCACUGGCAUGUGAUUAGCCUAGAGAUAUUUUGGAUAAGUUAAGACAAAGGAUCAGCAGGCAAACAAACCAGAGCCAUUUAGGACAGUGUUGAUGAUGCAGCCCAAAAUUGUUUCCUCCUUAUGUGAGAGAGUUUAGGACUUCUGAGCAUAGCUGCAUGGACUAUGUAGGAGGACCUCACACAUAUGUAGUUAGAGCCAGAGUUAAACGUCUGCAUCCUAGGUGGUGUUUAAUGACUUUUAAUAAAGAAUGGCAGCAGAUGUAUGAAUGCUAUUUGGGAAAAAUUCUGUCCUCUGGUGUGACUCUCCCUGUACUCCCUUAGCACUAUGUGAUUCCCAGCAGAGUACUGCAAGGCAUCCAGCCAGAAUCUUCCUAGUGUUGAAAGGCUGAUGCUGGGAGUGGGUCCAAGCGUGGGGUCCUCUCCACAGAGUCUGAUUUCGGGCUGUUUCACCAACUGGACAUGCACCCUUCCACCUUUCCUUUACCUGGUGUACAGGUCACUGACUGUGACCAUGAUUAAAUAGUGCCUGCUGUUACUGAAUGAGCAGAGGAGUCUCAGGCAGAGUGGUACAGGUGCCAUCGUCUUUCUUGCCUAAUGACAGUGGGCUAUCACUGCAGCCCACUGGCUGGGGAGGGAAGAGAGAGAAGGAGGGAGUAGCUACUAUCAAGAGGAGCCAUGCAUUGAUACCCUCUAAACUGCUGGAAGAAGAAAAGUUGUUGCUGAUAAUAGAAAGUACACACGAUACCUUGGGCUUGCAAAGAGAAUCGGUGAUUAAAUAUGGGGAAACGUGCAUUGUCAUUGCUCCCACCCACGGGUGCUUAUGGGUAAAUGGAAGAUCGGCCUGUCAGGCUGUCAGCUUCUAUGAGCCCUAACUUCCCCAUGAAAGGGAGAUGGCCAUCUUCCCAACAAUGGCCCCAGCUCGUUCGGUUACAGCCAGUCAAGUCCAAUGACAUCAAAUAUUAAUCUGGCACAGAACUUGGGCUGUCCAAGUGCAUUUUAUAACCAACAGCAUAUCAAAGCUUUUGGACCGGAUGACAAUCGCUCCUUUGUUGUUACAUCAGUCAGUCACUUUAACCCAGAUUCUCAGUCAAUUCAAAGGAAAGAAAAUGGUGCUUCAGCGAACUGACUGCUGCAAAAGGACUUUUAAAAAAAAUUAACAGAAGGAAGGCAGGGCUGAAACUUAUUACAAAAGAUCCCACCAUAAAAUCAGGAAAACGUACAAGGAGCCUUAGAUGACCUCACAGCAAGAGGCUGUAUUGCUGUUCUGUGUACAGUUUCUCUGCAGGGGCAGAUCUCAGAUCAUCCUGAAUCUAGUCUUUGGGCUUGCAGUUAGUUAGAGGCUUGGGCCUGAUCUGUUUGCCUAAGAGCAUUUAUACUCCUUUUAUAACAGAAUUUCUGUCUGCAUAACAGAAAUUUCUAGCACUAUGAAAGCAGACAAACUUCAGAAAUCAGUUUUCCCAGGUGGAGUGUGCAAAGGCAGAUCCAAGGCACCGGUUUCUUCCAGUUGUUGUCUGACCACAGCCGCCUGUAAUCUGGCUGGCAGAUGCCAGCUUGACUCUGUGUCAAGCAGCUCCUGUCUAUGUUUUCUCUAGCAUCCAGCACUGGCAUGACACUUUGGUCCACCUCUGGGUUUGCCUGCUGAAUGUGCGAGGAAAAAACUGUUAAGACUGUUAGCAGAGGGCUGAGCGUACAAGCAUAGCACAUUAACAAAACCACUCCAAUUAGCUGGAGGGGGGAGACAAAAAUGACAAGAAUUUUGCUUCUCUCUGCACAAAACUAGAGCCAGUGAGAAAAAAUUAUCAUUUGACUCUAAAUUAUUCAAAGGAAGCAAAGAAAUAAAAUAUAGUCUAAAGAAGAAUUCUUCCUAAUAACUAACUAAAAGUCAAAGCACAUUAACAUGUGAGGACUGGAAGAUCUGGAGAAAGAGCUGGAAGGAAACUGCAUGCCUGUAGUCUUGGAGGAAAAUGUAGGAACUUAAUUUAGUGAUAUUCGUGCCUCAAGAAAGAGAAAGUUUCUACACUGUGUUGGCACCAAUCCCGACCUUAUCGUGUGCAGAAUAGAUGGCUCAAGGAACAGGUGAGGAGUAAAAAGAGGCAGUUUAAAUGUUCAGAGGGAUUCUGCCAUUUAGGUUUUUUUCAGAAGGCGUUUCUGAGUGGGCUGGAGUGGGAGAAAGGGUUGGAAGGCCAGCGUGACUGCUCUCAUCUGCAGUCACCUAUUAAAUGAUGCUUAGAGGCAUAAGCUACCCCAGCUAUGGAAAAUCAUGUACUUCAGGGUAUUUUCUUUAAGAGAUCAGAAUGAGUGCUUUCAGUUGUCUUCCAAGUCCUUGGAAACCUGGUAAGAACCUUUGAUAUUUCCAAAGUUGUGUACAAGUAUCUGAGUUUAAUCUGUUUAUUUUUAACAACAAAAAGUCAGCAAAUAAAGAAAAAAUAGACCCAAGCAUGUUGCUUAAGGAUAUGUCAGAAAACUCAUGAAUUCAUGUGAAAAGCUACUUCUGUGGCAAUGGAGUGCAAAAUUCAAAUACACUGCUAAAGCUUAAAAGUAAUCACUGUCUGGAAGGCUUGAUAAUCUUGUGUCUGUUCUAGCAAAUGUUUGAACACUCAUGUGCGUGUACACACAUGCAUGGGCCAUCAUAGCUGCUAGUUCCCCUUGGGGCAGCUUCAGCUGCGAGGACAAAGGCAAAAUAAGCGCAGGGAUGGGGAGACCCAAUCCUUGGUAUUUGCAUUACCGGAGUUUGCAGUAUAGUAGUCAAUGCAGCAGUUAUUCUGCAAAUGGAGAGCUCUGGUCUAGUGCUGUCAGUCUCACACCCACUGUUCGGGAACACCUACAUUCCCUUUAAAAAUAAAAUUGUAAGAGCUCUGAAUACAAAUGUGUGAAAGUUUUACUAUUUAAAGGGAUCUUCUGGAGAAACUAUGUCAAAUGUGUAGCUCUUUCUAAAAUGCCAGUGGCACCCAGGAUUACUUGUUCUGGAACCGCUGCUUUCUGCAGCCAGCCAGUAGAUGGAUGAAGCUCACAUCCCGUGUGGAGCUACCCCUUCUCCCAACCACCCGCCUCCUGCCAUGCUCCACUUUGCUACUGCUUAGGCAAAAGCAUUUCCCAAAGUUGGAGAAGGACUGGAAAUCGCAUGGGUUUCCAGCUGGCAGCCUUAGCAGUUGUCCUGAGUCAUCAAAGCCAGUGGCCCGGGAUGAGCGGUGGGAGGUGCGGGAGGCAUGCAAGCUGCCUCCGAGUGAUGCUCCAGAAAGGGAGAAGCAGCCGGAGGGAGCGUGCUGUUGGCAAAUACCACCCACACGGGCAGCACAGCUUUCUGAAGCUCUUCUAGCUUCAGACAGGUUGCGGCACAUGGCACGUUGUGAGGGUUGUGGAGGUGCAGGGGGAGCAGAGGGAGGUCAGGAUGAUGCAGGAUUCCAGCACAGGCACUAUGCCAGGUCGGUAGUGCCCCAUUCAGAGGUUCAGGCGCUCCUUCACCCAUCUAUCUGCUCUAUAUACGUUGGCCAGUUUUAGUGGGCAUUUGCACCGUUCUCAGCUUCCUGAAGAAGUGAGAUGCCUUCCACUUAGGCAUUACUGUUAUUUAAGAUGGAAAGCAGGGCAUUUGCACAGGAAUGGAGGCAUCGAAUCUGAUAUCCCCUUUGCCAGGUAAGCCAAUAGCAUGAAUGGGAUGUUCACCCAGUUGCAAGGCAUUCAGUAUUUCUGCUCUGACCUACACCAGCUCUGAGCUAUUGUCAGAAGAACCAUUAGCUGCUUACAUCAAGACAUUAAGCCAAAUCCUGGCUCCAGUGAGGUCAGUCAUAAAACUCAAAAUUGUUUUCAGUGGCAAUAGAAAUUCAUCUCCUAGACAGUGGUCAGGAGGGAGGAGUCAGAUGGCGGUUUGCUGUUGCCUAACGGUGCAAAUUUAAGUUCAAUUCACUCAAGUUUCAGGACAUACUGGAAUUCUGUGUGUGAGCGUGUGUACAGAACAGAGGCAUGGUAGUUACGGCACUAGGAGACCAAGUAUUGGUAGCUACUGGAAGUGCUUUCCAAACUUUCCUGCAAAUACAGAUGACUAUUUUAGGAACUGAGGGAUAUGGGCAUCCUGGCUCCCAGCUGUGUAUGGCUAACAGUGUCUCAUCUAUGUCAUAUUGCUUAGUGCUGAUAUUCUAUUCAUUUAAUUACUCAACCAGACAAGUAUUAAAUGGUGUUUCAGAAUUCUUUAUUACAAUAUAUGCUUUCCAGUAAUUAGCUCACUCAUUCUUUGAUAGCAGGGGGGGGAAAAACCCUCCCCCCAGGUAUUUCCUGCCUGUAAGAGUACACACCUCUUAGAAAUGGAUUUUGUUCUACAGCUUUUGUUGUUUCCAGUUGCAUUUGGAUUGGUCCCAAGAAGAUGUGCAAAUCUCUGUGAGUGCUCUUCAACGUACAUUUACAUUUUCCCUUGCCUUGAAGGAAAUGCACGCCGACGAUAUGUUUUUGAUUUCCUAUUUGCUUUUUAUUUCUCUGUAGUUUCCUAUUGUGACCACUUUUUAAAUGCAUUCUUUUCAGACUCUCCAUUCUGCACACAUAUGAAAUAAGUUAUUACACUUUCUUCUACCCUGGACCUAAAUUUUACAUUCAUCAUUAAUCUGGACCGUUUCCUCUUAGAUUGCAUAAGAAAAUCUACAACUCGGAGUCAUGUCUGCUCUCCUGUGGUAAUUCAAGUCUUAGAUUUAUUAUAAUUGCUAACAGUAAAUACUGUAUCCAUUUUUAGAGAAUGAUCCAAUCUGCUUGUGUUUCCUGAUCUUUCUUCUCAUUCCUUUGUUAUGAUAUGCUUUUUGCCUCCUAAUUGUUUCCAUAUGAAAUGGCCUCAGUCAAAGCGGUUGCAAUGAAUAAUGUCCAUUUCAAAAUGUCAGCGUUUUGGUCACAGCAGAUAACCACGAGCUGGUUACUCCCUGUGCACAGUAGCACUCCUUAAGGACAAGUAAUGCGUUUUGCAGUCUUCUUAAGUGAAAACCAGUAAAGAUCAAACAUAAGGCAGGUUAUUAAACGUGAAUUCUGCCCUUUCGGCCAAUAAUCUUGCUACAAUUUCUGCUUUCUGCACACCCAUAACAUUUUGCUUUCCUUUUAGUAUAGCUGAAUAGUAUUAGGAACUAACUUAGCUUCUCUCCCAUGGACUGUGUUUAAAAUGUCUUUUGUCAAAAUAACUUGAGUGGGGCGGGAUGUCCCUUAUACGCUUUCAGUACUGAGACUGCUUUAUUGAAGUAUAAAUCAGGGCCCCUUCACCAAGGCAGAAAGCUCUGCUGGUUCUGCUGCAUUUCCACAGCUCGGUACAGGGCUGGAUACACUUAACUGAGAGGUGUGAAGGAGCAUCCUGGAAGAGAUGGAAGCUAAAUAUAUUCUGCUACAAGAUUUCUUCCAUUCCUCUCUCCACCCCCAGAUCCCAGAGACAACAAUGGCUUAUGCAGGGUUUUACAUAUGCAGCUAAUGGUGGAGGGAGGAGAAUUCCCACAGAUAAAGAGCUUUAAGUCCAGUACCAGCACAGCACACAGCCUGAAAUGGUGCUGGAGCUGGUUUUGAGGGAAAGCAUGCCAAAGAGAGGUCCUGCACAAUUAUUUUUAGGAAAGGAUCCCUGGCUAUAAGGAGAUCCUUCCCUACAGUUUUGAUAUAAGCACCUGGACAAGGUGGUGAGGGGAUCGAACUUCAUGUAGACCCCCUGCGCUUAGUGUUUCCUUUUGCUUAGUCCUAAGGUCUUCCUGGUUUGGGAAGUUUAUUUUGUUUCAAACCACCCUUUGACACCCAGCUAUCUGUGUGCAUAGUCCUCCUGGGGCCAGGUACCUGAUGACACGCUUUCCAUCCCUUACGAGAGAAUCAUCUUGUUCAUGUUUAAGGAGCCCAACUCCAUAAAAGCACAAAAGAGCGAACGAGUUUCCUCUCAUUUGCCCCUGAUUUUAUGCUUAUAUAAUUCCACUAAUUUCAUUUGCAUGGGAACAGAAACAGAUCCCUAGUCUCUUGGUAGAAAUGAUUUUACAGGGCUGUUAUCCAAACCAGAAGGCCAAGCAGGAAUCUACUUCACAUGCAUAAAGCACCGCAACAGAAGCGACAUGCAUACUGGUUGUUUUAUUCCCACUCCACAUUUUUUUGCACAUUUACAUACACUGUAUAUAGUGGAAUGGGGGCAAAGGAGAAUAGCAACUGAGCAGCCCUUCCUCUACUACAGGUGAAAGGUGUCUAGCUGAAUGGUUUUGUCUCCAGGUACACAAAAGGAAAUUAAACCAUGAGAAGGGAUACCUCAGAGCUGUAAACUCCGAGGGGAAGAAAUUACUAUCAGUUUGACAGGUUUGUAAGUGAAUUACUUAUUUAUGUAGCUCAAUAGAUUUAAUAUUUUCACAGAUGAAAGACAGAAAUUAAACAUGCUUUGCAAACACAUGUGUUGCCUUCUCCGUUUACUUGAGAAUGGGUCAAGUUAAAAUUGCUGCUGGUAUGGCCACAGAUAAUCAACGGGGGAGAGCUGAAAUGAUAAACAAAUGAAAGCAAACAAAAUUGCUUUUAAAAGUUUCAAAUGAGUAUGCUGUUGGAAGUGCUAUAAAAGAUAACACAAAAGAGCCAGCUAAAAACCAUGGCUCAAGCUCAAUUUUUUGCAAGCAAUCAUAAAUCUUCACUUCAGCGGCUUUGUGCUCAUCUGGGGGCACUGGACAAGUGAAAAAAGUUGACCUCAUCAUCAUGUGAAGUUUCCUAUUCCUGUCCUAAGUUGUCAUUGGUAAAAGCAGGCAGCAAGAAUUCCAGUUGUAAACAGUCGCGUACUGCCAAUGUUUCAGCAAGGGUAACCCACAUUUUUUCCUCUCUGCAACUGUAACAGCUUGUGCCUAAGGUGCUUAGUGGCUGCAGCGGAGAAGGCUGUAGACCAGCCCUCGCUUCAUUUGCUUCUCUGGUGAAACAUAAAUGCCCUUGCUUAGCUGUAACUACAGAGGGAGAUGCCGUAAUUUGGCAAAUGGACUUUGAGAGUCAUAGGGUCUUGUUUCUGUGCAACGACUCACAGAAAUAGGAGCAAGGAGCCCUUAUCCUCUCUUGCACCCACUCCAACUGCACAGCAUGAAGACAUGUCUGCAGGUCUUGCACCCUCCUGACUUGUUCCCAGAGCUCAUGGCCCUUGUCCAGAUCAUCUUCCUGGGAGGGAGGCAGGAUGCUUGCUUUUUGGGUGGUUGACCAAGGACCAUAUGGGUGGCAUUGCAGCCCUUCCAGUGAGCAGAUAUUCCUGAAACAUGAGGUGAAAUUCAGCUCACCCCAGCUGCUAUGGGUUUGAUAUUGGUGCAGAGCCGAAGGGCCUGAUGCAGCAGGAUAAUGAGCUCCCUUCCAACACAUCUGCCAAAGGCAGCAGGCAUGUGCUUCAGCACGCAGCUCCCGCUCUUACUUGCGGGAUGGCUCCCUCAAAUUUAGUUUUAAAAAUGCAGGUAUUAGUGACUAGGUAUCUCACUACUAGCCUAACAGUUUUCCUUGGUGCAAUUAAAAAUGUGUUCAGAACGUAUAAUAGGAGUCAAAUGAAUUUUUAAAGCAUUGUGCAGACAAUGUACAUCAGGUUGAAAAAUAUAUUUGACAUCUGCUAUCCUAUGACUGCAACAGCCAUAGAGAAAAAGCUCUCGUUAAAGGAAAUCAGAAAAAAAAGCUUUGGAGCAAAUUUCAAGGAUAGUAAUCUCCCUUUGAAAUGUGUCUGUGCCACCAUCAUCUUUGAGAACCUUGAAAAUGUUUGUGCUUUUUUCCUGCUUUAUUAUCCUUAAAAGUAUCCCACACCUCCCACUCCCCACCCACCCCACCCCUGGUCUUGCCAAUAUUGUCAUUUAAGCAACCAAAGGAUCUCUUCUAAACAAUUAGAAAAAAAUGUGCUUGUACACCUGUGCAAAUACCUAUUUCCAAAAAUAACUAAAACUGCUGUUUUAUGUAUUUAUGUUAUGAUGCAUUUUGAAAUAGGACUAAAUGUUUAUUUACAUGACAGAGCACGCUAGCUCUAGUCUAUUAAGAAAAUAAUGGGCAUUAAACCUUAUACAGCAUACAAUCUACUGAAUAAAAGUAGAUUAUAUUUUAAAGAGAUCUGUGGCUUAGUGAUCUACAGUUUUAAAGCAAAACAACUCACUUAGCAGAAGAAUAACUAUUUUGGUAACAAUUUAUUUCUUUUGAUUUUAAAACUCUUUUAGGAAUUGCUUUAAACGUAAUGAAAGAUAAUGAGAGGGGACGAUAAAUUAAAGCAAGAGUGAAGAUGGAUUGUUGUGCCCUAUAGAGAAGUGUCAGUCUAAAGGCGGAUUGUCAGCUCCUUCACUCAGUCUUCUCUGUGUUGCUCAGUCGAUGUAGUGAGGCUUUCAUAUGGUCUUACCCAGCCAGUGGUGGAUCUCCUCCAAGGCAGAGGAUGUCCGCAAAGCUCAUCAAAGGAAAGAAAAAGAAGCCUUUGCAGAAUCUGAUGUCAUUGGAAUACAUUCUGCAAUUUCCUGGACUUUAUGCUGCUUCUUCCUCUGUGCUCCUGAGACCGGCAGUGGCAAACUCCAGGAACAGGACUCGGACAGAACAUGCAGUUCUCGGUACAGCCCUUCCAUAUACUUCUCAUCAAAUCUCUCAGGACCUGCUUCACAGAAAUGUUGACAUACCUAACCUCAACCGAUUCCUUGAGCCUUGGCACCUGAGUAACCCGCCCAUGCGUGAAGCUGGGUGUCACGAUGCUUUGCCUCUCUGAGCCACUGUGAAGAUAAAGGACAGACGCCAAGGAAAGGGCUCAGUAAACCAGGCCCAGCACCACGCACACGUGAGCAUUUCAAUGCCAGGGCUUAAGCUAAUGUCUCCGCAGGAGAUGGUUUUGCUCCACACAGAUGCACCAGUGCUCUGCUCUGCUCCAGAUCUGGGCGUGCGACAUACAUGCACCCUGAGCGGUGCUAUGCCACUUCUAUCCCAAAUCUAGAGCAGAUGAUGAAGUCAAGAACUUGUCUGCAGUGAUUCACGCCUCUGGAACUGUAAAGAAGUUGGGAACGUCAGAGCAAUCCCUAAAACUGAUUCAAAGGGGCACAGGGAGGAGUAAAACUGCUUGAAGCCAUCUUGAUGCCUCAUGAAUCCACGUCGAGCAUAGUGUGACCAUAGGUGGGGAUUUGCUCCUAUUUCACAUCUCAGAGGUAUGAGGAGGUGUGCAUAACAAUAAUCUUGGCAUUUAUUGCUUUCUCUGAAAAGUAUUUUGUUCAUCUAGGUAUAUAUUACAGAGAGAAGAAAUGUUAUAAGAGUUUGAAGUGAAAAUAGUUUAGAUGUGCUUGAUUUGUGGACUAUAAAUACACUUAAGCGUGUAUAUAUAUUAGGAAGCCUAAAAAAACUAGUGUAUCACAAAACAGUAACUGCAGAUUUCAAGGCUGAAGGCCAAAUUUAAGUACACCAUGUUGUUUUCUGUGUUCCCUAUGAUCAAUCACAAAGUGAGUAGAGAAGCUGAGAGGCACAGGGCUUGAUGAAGGGGUCUCUGAUUAUUGUAAGAAAUCAGGCCUUGUUCUGGGUUCCCCCACCCCCCUUUGUUCUGAAGUUUGGUAGACACGAGAUUAGUUCUGAAAAGAGAGCAGGCCCUGAGAACUGCAGUCAAUAUUCAGAGGGAAAAACUCACAGAAUUUUUGUUAAAAAUUUGUUCAUGCCAGUCCCCUCCCAAGCACAUCCUAUUUAUAUGGCCUAUAAACCAAAAAGGCUGUGAAGACCGGAGACGAAUGAAGCCUCUUCAAUGUGUGAAGUGAGUGCCGUUGCUCUAGUUUGUGUAAUAGCAGUGAUAAGUAGAUAGGUAUAAGUUUAAUAAGAUAUUGUUUAAGUACUGUAUAAAUAUCCACUAAAUAAUUCUUGCAAUAGAUAUGGAAGUAGGUAAUUUUUAUUGUAAUAUGGUAAUUUGCAUUCAAACUUAGCUCAGAAAACCCAAGACUUGGGCCUCCAAAAUUUAGUAACGUAUUUAUGGCCCCAAAAUAAGUGUUGUGCUUUUCAGAGGUGACAGGUAGGCCUGCUUUCACUGAACUCAGCCAGCAUUGUGGCUGUUUGUUGAAUUAUCAGUUGUUUAUGCCUUUGAAAAUGUAUUUGCAAGUUUGAAAAUUUUGUCUGGAGUGAUGUGCCCAAAUGCAUCUUAGGGGAAACCCUGGUAAGGCUCGAGAUCCUAGCGCUGGAUUGCUGGCCACCGGCCUUGCCCUGGCAAGCACGGCACCAGGGCGUACGUGGUCUGUAGCAGGGGAAUCUGUUCUUUUAAACAAUGCUACCGGCCAUAAGGCAUCUCUGGUGUGCAGAGCCAGGUGGGAAUUGUUCUGGACCGUUCUGGCUGCAGAGCCAGUCUCGUUUAGUAACUGUGGGUGAGGCUUUCCGGAGCACAGUGAGAUAAGGCUUGAAACGUUCUGGAGAGGCGCUCCCGGGGAUAUGCAACUCAGGUGCACCUCGGUGAAGCCCCGGGGUGACGCACCGAGACAGGCCGCUGCCAACGCCGGCCCGCGGCCCCACUUCGAGGCCUGCGGUCCAGGGCCUGCUCCAGCCGGGCCUGCCUGCCUCCCUCCGCGCCCCACCGCGGCCUGUCGGGGGGAGGCCCCGCUGCCCCCGAGCCUCUGCGGCGGCGGCCCUGCCCGCCCAGCACGCCCCGCCGCAGCGCCCGCCGCCCGCAGGCCGCGCGGCCAGCCACCGCCGCAGGCAGCGCAGCAGAACGGGGCAGGGCCCGGCGGCCGGGCAGCGAGCGGAGCGCGGCGGGGCGGGCGGCGGGGCAGGUCAGCGGCGCCCCCCCGGGGCGGGCCGGGCCGGGCCGGGCCUCGCGCACUGCGGGCGGGGGGAGGGGUAACCGCUUCC